AGAGUUUGAUCCUGGCUCAGGAUGAACGCUAGCUACAGGCUUAACACAUGCAAGUCGAGGGGAAACGACAUCGAAAGCUUGCUUUUGAUGGGCGUCGACCGGCGCACGGGUGAGUAACGCGUAUCCAACCUGCCCACCACUUGGGGAUAACCUUGCGAAAGUAAGACUAAUACCCAAUGACGUCUCUAGAAGACAUCUGAAAGAGAUUAAAGAUUUAUCGGUGAUGGAUGGGGAUGCGUCUGAUUAGCUUGUUGGCGGGUAACGGCCACAAGGCUACGGUCAGUAGGGUUCUGAGAGGAAGGUCCCCANAUUGGAACUGAGACACGGUCCAAACUCCGUACGGGAGGA
rnacentral:rRNA from 1 species